UAUUUUAGUUUAUAAUAAAAAUUUGGUUUGUGGUACCAAAGAUCUUUUUGAGGUUAAGCUAUAUUAU
rnacentral:tRNA from 1 species